UACGGAGGGUGCAAGCGUUAUCCGGAUUUACUGGGUUUAAAGGGUGCGUAGGCGGGUUGAUAAGUCAGUGGUGAAACCUCCGAGCUUAACUCGGAAACUGCCAUUGAUACUAUCAGUCUUGAAUUCAGUUGAGGUGGGCGGAAUGUGUCGUGUAGCGGUGAAAUGCUUAGAUAUGACACAGAACACCAAUUGCGAAGGCAGCUCGCUAAACUGACAUUGACGCUGAGGCAUGAAAGCGUGGGGAGCAAACAGG
rnacentral:rRNA from 1 species